CCUCCGGUAGCUCAGCGGGAAGAGUGAACAGAGCAUAAUCUGUGUGUAAAAUUGACGUAUCUCUGUGGACGCUGGUUCGAGUCCAGCCCGGAGGG